rnacentral:lncRNA from 1 species
UUUUUUUUUUUUGUUGGUAUGGGCUGAGUGAAUGAAUAAUUGGUUGGAUUGGAUUUUUUUUUAUAAUUAAUUGGAUUGGAAGUAUUAUUACAGUGAGAGUUUUUGUUAAUUAUUUAAGGAGGUUUUAUAAUUUUCCACAAAUAAAAUAUAUUAUGGAGGUUUUUAGUAACUCCUAUUAAAAAACUAUCACAAACAAAUAAAAAUUUUGUAGUGUGGUGAACCCUGGAACUCAUACCUGCAUAAUUAUGCAAGUAUUUUCAAUGUUUGCAACCCUAACUUCAUAUAACCAUGAAAACAAAAUCAAACUCAUGCUAAAUCAAUUUAGUUAUAUACAACUUUUGCUAAUUUAAUACACCAUUACACUCGUAAAGAAAAUAGAAUCAAAUUAACUAACCCUGUUCCACUCAGCUCAACACUUCAAUUUCAUUUAACUUAAUGCAUGCUCUCAUUGCUAAAAAAAAUUGAAAAAAUUCUUUAAAUGCAUGAUUUUUGCCAAACAUAUACAUUUUCUAAAUUAAAGAGGCAAAUUUGCCAAACAUAUAUGAAAAUAAUUUUAAAAAAAUGAAAAAGAAAAUAAAAAAAUGAAAAAGAAGUAAAAUUCAGACACAGAGGAUACUGUUCCAAAUAUCCCUAUAGCAAAGUCUGAAGAAGAAAAAAAACUUAAAAGGUCCAAAAAUCCACAACACAAUACACAUUUAUACUAUCUAUUAAUAUUGAAUGAAACUAAAUAGACCAAACACACGCCAAUAUGAACAGACCUUUUUUAAACAUUCUUCAAUCCCAGACUUAAGCCUAAGUAAAAGAUAAAUGAAAAAAAAAAUUAAAUGCCACGAGAAUGAUGAUCAAAUUAACUAAGAAGCCUGGGAGACAUACUUAGGUGAUGUAUGUCCAGAAAUCCCACAGUUGUAGUAGCAGCUUCAGCCGCAUCCAGCACCACCUAUGCCUACUUGCACUAUACGAACACAAUGCUCAAUGAAUCAGUCAUAAAAUGUAAAAAUAAAGGAAAAGAAAAGAAAGAAACUCUUAUCAUUCUUAAGUAAUAUUACUAUAUAUUGUACAUGCGGACAUAAUCAUUAAUUAAUGCAUAAAAAAAUCAACAUAUGAAUAAAGAAUGGUGCUCUGCUCACGAAUACAAACAUCACUAUAUAUGGUUUCAUUCCAACUGAUUUAGUUAGUUAUAUAUAUCAAACGUGUUUUAGCCUUUAGACAAAGCAAAAUUCAAUACUUUAAAUAGCUUUACUUUUAUCAUACCUUGGCCGAAUACAAAACAAUAUCUUCCUUAGUUAGUUUGAAAGCAUGACUACUUCCAUAUGAUGCAAGAUUCAAGGCAGCAUGUGGUUCUGCCUGACACAAUAGCACACAUUUUAUUACAUGCCUUAAUCCCAUCCAUAUUCUGUGUGAUUCACGGAAUUAAGAAAAUCAUUAGAGGAUUCUAAAAGUAACUUACUUGAGAUCAUGUUGUUACAAUUAGCAGAUCCUUUGGAGCAUAAGCAUCAAUAUCCACUGCUUUUACCUAUGUAAAAUUAUAAAUAAUGAAAAACAAGGUAACAGACAUGAAAAACACAAAGUCAUUACAAAUAAAAGAUAAAGAUAAAGAUGAAUAGGUGCUAUCAUAAAUUUCUAAACAUAAAGAGGCAAUCACAUAAUUAAAAUUUUACCUCUCUAGCCACAAAGAAGAGGAACUUGUGAUCAGCUAAGUUUCCUUCAACCAAGAAACAGAACCGUGCGAGAAGGAGGCACAGCCAUCGCGCCACCGUCGCUGUCUUCAUCGCGUGUGGAGUCGCCGUUGCCGACAAGCCCAGCCGCCGCCCAGUUGUGUCGCCGCCAUGAAGACCUCGCCGACGUCUUCCCCUUCGCAGAUCGUCACCGUCUUUGGAGCAGAAAGCGAAAGAGAUCUCACGGUGGAGGAAACAGGAAGGCACCGCCGUGCAGCGAGAAGCUACCGCCGUCGUUGCGCGCUCCGUCACCGCUACUGCUGGGGCUGCGCCGCCGUGACUGAGCUUCUGCCACCCGAAACCCACCGCCACUGCCACCAGAAACCGCCACUGAGGCCUAAGUCAGUUUGGUAAGCUCUAAUAUUGCCUCAGAUCUUCUUUUCUGUUAAGUUGCUUCUACCGUGAGUUGUUACUGAGGUUGUUUGCAUCGGAUUAUACAGUCACCGCUACUGCAGAACCAUCAGAGCUUCCGGCCGUUAUUAGAGCUGCUGUCUGGUCAAUUUUGAAGCUGCUACUGUGUCGUUCUAUUCUGUUUAUCAUGGUAAGAUUAUUCGGUUUCGUUCUUGUUUAUCGCAAUACUUUAUUAUCAAUCAUGUUCUAAUAUCGCUCAAUAUCCAUCCCGCGUUAAUUCUAAAUUAUGUCAGAUAUGUGGUUGUUGCUGUAACUUCUACGGUUGAUUGGAAAUUUCUGCGGUUGCUGCCGAUUAACAUGAGAAUAAGGAUUUAAUGGGUUUAAUUAUGCAACUUGCGACUAAUUGAGGUAGGGAUUUUUCUUAAAAUCUAUUUUACAUUACAGAGUUGUGAUAAAUAGAUAUUGAUGCUAAAAGAUAUACUUCUGUGAUUAUAUUUGUCUUGUGGAUGUGAUAGUUUGUUGGGCUGGAUUAUUGGGUGCUUGAUUGCGUGAGGGGUGUAUGGUUGUUGAUAAAAAACCGGUUUAAAAUGUUAUUUACUUGAUUAUUAUGAAAGGUGGAUUUUCGUGGUUUUGGAGUUUACUUGGUAAUAUAAAUGAAUUGAUUUUGGAAAUAAUUUGAGAUAUGAAAAUAAAUUGAUUAUGGGAGCGGUUUGAUUUUAAGUUGGUAUGAUUUUAUAAAUGAUUUAAUAUUCGAGUUGAUUUUAUUUUAAAAAGAGUUUUAUUGUUGGAAUUGGUUUGAUUUGAAAAUAAUUUGAUAUUGGAACUGGUUCAACUCUGGAAAAUGUUUGAGAUUUGGAAAUGGUUAGGAAAAGGUUUGAGAAAUGUUUGGAUGGGACCGGAAAAGGGUAGCAGUGUCCGAGUUUUAGAGGAGAUGCUGCCGAAAUUUUAUCAAAUUGGAAGUUUUAUUUGAAGUAAUUAAUUAAAAAGAUUUGUUUUUAAACAUUAUAUGUUUUAAGAUUGAUUUACUUAUCAAAGAAAGAAUUAUGUUUUGAAUUGGGAUUGUUAAUGGACGGAAUGGAAAGAAGGAUGAUGAGAAUUCUCUUUAAAAUAUGAUUUUUGAAUGAAUUUGGAAAUGAGAUUUGGAUUGAUGAAUGAUUAUGAUGUUGAGAAUGUUGAGAUAUUGAUUGAGAAUGUUGAGAUAUGAUCUUUGAAUUAUUCAAAUGGCUUAUGAAUUUGAAUUGUCUAAGAUACGAGGUUCCCUGGAUAAAGUACCAUGGCUUGCCACCACGUGUACCAGGUUGAAAACUCGAUACUCUGUUGACCCUACGACGUAAGUGUGACCGGGCAUGCGCACUAUAUAAAUUUCUGGGAAUGUUACCCCCAUUGAGCAAUAUUGAUUAUUUGAGAAAAAGCUAUGCAUAGACUCUUAGGGAUGCACGUCGGGGGACAGUCUAAGUUCAAUUCAGACUUGUCGGGUUGGCUGGAUAACCGACAGAUGAGCCUCAUCAGUCAUAGGACAGGCAUGCAUCAUAUGCAUUUGUAUGCUUUGCUUGGGUUUGAAUUUGUUUUGGUUUGCCUAAUUGCUAAAUUGUUCUUAACUGCUACUUGAACUAUUUGCUGUAACUGCUACCUACUUGUGCUUUCCUUGUCUAUCUUGCCUGUGUUUGUCCUAGCGUGUUACAUUUGAGAAUGAACUUUGGUGCUGAAUUAAUGAUUGUGUUGUUUGAUUGCGUGGUUGGUUUCUUAUUGAUAUUUUCUUAUAAGAAAGGAAAGGUUUCGUUUGAUUGUGUGUUACAUUUGUAUGUUUUGUAUGUAUGUUAUAUUAUAAAAUAUUAUGUAAGGAGUCUUGUAUAUGAAUCUAUGUCUGCUUGUAUUUUUCUUAAGAUAAAGUAUUUAUUUCCGGUUUUCAAAGGAAUCAGCGAUACGGUGUCGAGUCACAGGCUCCUAUUUUAAUAUUUAGUAUGUAAAGUGGUCGUAAUACUUCUUGCUAUCAGAGUAGCGCAGCCGGAAGCGUGACAUUCUAGUAGUGAGGGUGUUACACUUGGCAAAGACAGGGUUUAUAAUGAUUGCACAAAGGCAAAAAUUUGUAGCAUUAUUAAAUUAAAUCAAUCCUUUCGUUGUACAAUUACUAACAACUUGAACUUAUUGUUGCAGAAAAAUUUCCACUUUGAUAAAGAUAGAAGUGGAAGUAUCAAGAAAACAAUUUUACAAAGUAUAGGGAAGUCCUGGAACAAGGACGCUUGAGCAAAAUCUUGAGUUACGCCCGACGAAAAUUGAUAAAGAGCAUUGGAGAUAGUUCCUUGAUUAAUGCAAUGAUCCUGACACAUAUGUAACCUAUUUUGAAUUCGUUAAGAAAUAAUACUAUUUAUAGUACAUUGAUAUGGACAAAUUCGGUGUCUAAUCAAUCUUAUUUUUUAUGACAUAAUAGGAGAAGUGCAAAAAAAAUGCUAUGAAUUGAUCAAAACAACUAUACACUCACAUUGACGAUUUUAAAAGCUUGGUGAGACCAAAGGAAGAAGAGGUAAUUUAGGUUUAAAUUCAUUUUAAACUAUAUUUUAGACUGCAUAUUCUUUAUUUGGGUUUAAUACAGUUAUUUUUUAAACUAUAUUGUUAUAGAACUAUAGGAGAGAAAAGUUGGUAGAGGAGAAUUAUGGACCUUAGUGCAUAAACGACAUGAUGACUCCUAUAUACAUGAAGAAGCUCAGAUCAUUGGUGUAAGUACUACAUUGGGAUCCUUUAUGUUGUUUCUCGUUGGAUUUAAUUAUAAAAUUGUGUUGAAUAUGCUCUAACCUGUAAUUUCUUAUGUAUGCUUAUUUACGUCUGUAGAAAAAAUUGUGGAGAUUGAGCAAUGUGAUGAAUCUACUAGAAUAUUGUCUGAAAAUGAUUCCCUUGCCCAAGCUCUCGGAAAAGAGCACUCGGGUAGAGUGCGUGGCAUGAAUUUCGGACUGACUCCAAGUCAACUCUUCUGUUCUAGUUCGCAGCUGCCGGUGGAUGAAACUCAAAUAGAGGAGGUCCAAAGGAUGCUGAUUGAACUACAUGCAAAGGUGAUGGCCGAGAAAUUGAAAAGGAAGGCAGUGGAGGAUGAAGUAGCAACAGAGAAAUUGAAAAGGAAGGCAGUUGAGGAUGAUGUAGUAGCUGAGAAGAUAAAGAGGCAAGCAAAAAGAAGUGUUCUAAGUUAUUUAAUUCAACGAUAAGAUGGGAAGCUGCCACUAAACACCGCUGCACGGAUGAAUUCUUUGAAUGGACAUAACGAAAAAUAAAAAUUAGGAUUGAUGUUAUUUUAUUUGAAGUAUAUAUAUAUUUUUUAAUUUGACUAUGCAGCAAAUAACGGCGGUUUGUAACCGAUGGAAAUACAUUUGAAAAAUUGCCGCGGGUUUUGAUAUAGCGGUGGUUGGUAAUCGCCGAAAAUAAAAUUUUGCCAAAUUUGGCAGCGCCAAAUAGUGACGGUUUGUAACCGUCGCAAAAGAACCUUGAAAUUGUGUUUGGGCAUAAUGUGGCCGUUCAAAACCACCGCAAAACAAUCCAAAGCAAAAUAUAUGAAUAGCAGCGGUUAUACCAGCGGUUGGUAGAAACUGUCGCAAAAUCAAAUAUUUACGUCGUAAAAGAGGAUGAUUGAUGAACUACUGGUAUAUAUUCUGUUUAGUGACGGUUUAAAACUACCGCAAAAUCUAAAAAACUGUCUCUAGUAUCCGCUUCUCUUGUAGUGAGCCAUUGCAAGCAUCUAAAGAUUGAUCUACACUUUUUUAAAAGACAAGGUUACGUUAAUUAACGAUAAUUCUUUGUUGUGAAUAUUCUAGCAACUUAUAAGUUUGCACACAUUUCUUUGACAAAUUCAGAACCAAAUCUAGAGUGUGUAUAAGUCCAGGUCACACCUACGUUUAAGGAGGUGUUAUAGAUAAAGAGAAUUCUACUAGAAAAAGUAGAUAGUGCUAGUUGAUUAUCUGGUAUUGGUGUAAUCACCUUCCACUUAUAUCAAGGUUAGGUAAUUAGUUAAGAUAGAAUUUUGUUAGGCUGCUAUAUGAGUUUUUUUAGAGUUUAUAAUAUAAGCUGUGAAUAUGCAUACAUUAAUAUAUAAAUUAGAAUUGUACUAGCGUAUCAAUCUAAUAAAAAAUUUGGAUUAUUCAAUCACAAAUUAUUCUGUAUUCUCUAUUAUCAAUAAUCACUAAAAAAAUCAUAAUAGCAUGUUAAGUAUGUGAUACAUGGCAAAUUUUUAUCUUAUAUAUCAGUAGUUAAGUAUUGAUUUUUUAUCUUAAUUUAAGUAUUGAAUCUUUCAAAAAUUAGAUGGAUUUUAUAUAUGAUCUUUUCUUUUCAAAUAUCAUUUUGACAACUAAUCCUUAAAGAAAAGACACCUAGCAUAUUCAUUCCAAAAAAUAAUGGUGUUUGCUACGGUACGAUGAUAAAUUCAUACGUACCGAUACGUUUAAAAUAUGGACAAGUAAUAACAAGCCACACGGAAUCUAUUUUCCACAUCAGCAUCUAAUUUUUUCUUUUUUAAAUAUAUAUUAUAUCACCACUUUUACUAAUAUAUCCCUUUAAUUAAAUAAAAAUAAAAAUAUAUUAUUAUUUAAUGUUAUAAAAAUUCUUAAACAUCUUUACUUUAUUUGAUUAGACAAAAAUACUUUUUAAAUUAAUCAAAUUUUAGAAUUCAAUUAAUCCUAAUUUUAUAGUUUCAAAUAAUUUAAACAAUAAAACAAAAACAUAUAAAAAAAAAACUAAAAAUCAAUCUUUUUUCGUCUUCUCCAAUUCCCAUCAUUAGUAUCCUCCUCUAAAACAAAGCAAAAUAUAUCAAAAAAAUAAAAAAUUAAUAUGUUCUUCAUCUUCUCCUAAUCUCAUUCGUGCCCCCCUUUCCUCUGAAGCACACUAAAACAACAAAACCCUAGCAAUAAUUGACUGCGUUGAUCUCGGUAGCUACGUCACCCACGGAAUUUAAAGAAUCUAAAAGAAAAGGAAGGCUAAACCACUCAACUGGGCAAACGCGGCGUCUUUCUCCUCUAUGGAAGUUCUUUAAAUGCCUCUUUCUCAAAGGUCUACGAUAUAUUGAUUGAGCGUGGUAGUUGGCUGCUCUGUCUGACUUCUUUGCCGCCGGCGUCCCCAGGCUCAGCGCUUCCGCUUCUUCCUCUUCCCUCUGUCCGGAACCCAAGUAGCUCGUCCUCAUCCUCGUUGGCUUCUCCGUCCGUGGCCAGGGAAAAAGUUAAUAUCUUCCCCUCCUUCCCUGUUUUCCUAGUUUUCAAAGUUUAAAAUCUACUUUGGGACUUGCAUUCAUUCCACACAAAGAUGUUGCUCUCCCUCAAGUACUACAGCCCUUUGCUCUUCCAGCUGGAGGGAAUGAUAUAGAGAACAGGUGAAGAUUUAAGACUUAAUAUGCUCUUUUGUCUUCUGUUAUUAAUUACUUGAUUAUGAACUGGGAAUUGGAAUAUGUAUGUUUCAGAUGACUUAUUAUUAUCCUGCAUUUUGGUUCUGGAUUGUCUGUUAAUCUUUUUAUGGCCACCUUGACAAUGAUGCUAAAUUGCUAAUUACUUGAUAUUUCCAGGAAUGAAUAGAAUCCUGAAUCUUGAAAUUGGUCAUAACACACAGGUCUUCAAUUUCUAAAUAACCUUAAGCUGCAGUUGCACUUCAGUUGAUUUUUUAGUAACAUAGAUGAAUAUUAUCUUAUUUGUAAUAUCUUCCACGGAGAGGCCAUUGGUUGCAAAGAGAUGAAAAGUACUACCGUCACCAAUGACUUAUAAUCUCCAUAUGCAAUGAAAAACAUAGAUUAAGUUUAAUUAUUGAUCCUGCAUGAACUAUAUUUAAAAUACAUAUAUUAUUUUCUUGUACAAUGGUAUGGAGAGGUGAUACAUAUCAUGAACUAUAUCAUUGGUUGAUGUCUUAGUGCCAAUAGCUGUCUUGUUAUGGUAAUAUGUUAAUAAUGGUAAUGAAUGGUUUUUUAAGGAUCAAUUUGUGAAUAAGGAAAGAGGAUACGACAAAGUGUUUGAACUUUGUUUCGAAUAUGCGGUAUUAGCACCUAGUACUGAUAUUACAUAAGAUGCUAGGCUAAUAUGUGUUGAAAAUAGAGUAAAGUACCAAUCCGGUCCCUGUCCAUUUCCCAAAAAGACAAGACGAUCCUUAACCAAAAACACGUUCCAUUACGGUCUCUAAUCCUGUACUCCGUCUGCCAACCCGGUCCUUCUGUCAGUUUUUCGGCGAAAACUCGAUGGAAAUUGCUGACGUGUCAGGUUAAAAAAUGGACAAGGACCUAGUUGUCUCUAAAUUUAAAUUGGUUAGGGGUUUAUUUGUCUUUAUUAUUCUAAAUUUAUAAUAGAUAAUUUGAUAGCUAAUUUUUUAUGUAAACGUAAUAUUUUUAUUAUAAAAAUUAUUAUCAUGUUAUAUAUAUUUCGCCCCCACUAUCAAAAUUUUUUGGAUCCGUCACUAGUUAUUAUUAUUAAUGUAUUAACUGAAUUUUAAUGUUUAUUAUUUAUAUAUUUAAAAAUUAUAUUUAAAAAUUAUUUAUUUGGUUUCAUAAUAAAUGAUAUUUUUAAAUUUGAAUAAUUUAUUAAUUAGUUUGUACUUUUUUAUUAAAAAAAGAAUAUUAAUAUAAUGAAUAAAAUAUAAUUAAAAAUAUUAUUUAAAGAAUAAUAAAGACAAAUAAACCCCUAACCAAUUUAAAUUUAGAGACAACUAGGUCCCUGUCCAUUUUUUAACCUGACACGUCAGCAAUUUCCGUCGAGUUUUCGCCGGAAAACUGACAGAAGGACCGGGUUGGCAGACGGAGUACAGAGUUAGGGACCGUAAUGGAACGUGUUUUUGGUUAAGGAUCGUCUUGUCAUUUUGGGAAAUGGACAGGGACCGAAUUGGUACUUUACUCGUUGAAAAUAUUAUCAAUUGUUGGAGGUUGUGGUUAUUAUGAAUGUCUUGAUGAUCACCUAUUCGCCUUCGGUGAAGAAUUAGGGACUGGAAUUUCAUGUAGUAGGAAUUAUGAUCAUUUUGAUAGUUAAACCAUCAUGGAAGAUGCAUAGAUCUUAUUUUGGCUUACUUCUGUUUCUCUCUUUUUCAUGUGGAUUUAUGCUUAGGUUUUGUUUAUUAAUUCUUUUCUUUAAUGCCUUUGAACUUAGUUUUUGCUUCUGCGAGUUCCCUUAUUCAUGUUUGUACCAAGGAUCUGCUUUUUAGCCCUUUGUGCGUGCGUGUCUUAAUUCAAUGCUUAUUUAUUCUCUCUAUUCACAUGUUCACUUUCUUACCAUUGAGGCUACAUCUUCCUGGUCUCCAUAUACAUUGUGCGACUCGAUGAUGGUAGUUUAUAACUGUUCAAUAUUUGUUAAUGUGUUACCAUAGAUUUGUGUUACCAUAAUGACUUGCAAAUAAUAAAGUUGGAUUUUAAAUUAAAUUACUCUAAACAUGUUUAUAUUUAUUAACAAAGGAAGCCUACUACUACUACUAUACUACAGUACAAUUCAUAUAGGGAUGAUAUACACAAGCAUUCUUUUUUCUUUUCUUUUCUUUUCUUUUUUUCCCUAUAGAAAUACCUACUUAAAUACAACACCAUCUCAAAUUCUAGGGAUAGGGAACUGGAGAUUUCAGCUCCAAAACACAGUUUCCAUUGAUUGCACCAUGCACUAUGAAACUGUUUGGUCUUUUUUAUAUUUUCUUCUUGAAACAUCCAUCACAGUGCUCUACAUAAUGGCUCCAACUUGCUAACUAAUAUAACUGAAAAAGAUUGAAUUAAAUGUAGCUUAUUGAUCCAGUUUGGUCAGCUUGUGUUCCAACUUGUUCUCCACACAAAGGCUUUGAUUAAGAAAAUCUGCCACAGAAUUAAAGUACAAGAAAUAAAUUAGUUAGAUUAAGGAAGAGCUCAUUGAUUGCUUUGCAGAAAACUUCAGAUGCUAAUUAGCAUGCCACCCCUAACACCUGUGGCCCUGACCCAUUCUCGGAAGUAAGAAUUUUCAAACCCAAUCAGAGUAAGUGGUCAAGGCAAAAGACAUGGCAUAAAAUGCAAUUUUAAGUUGGGGAGAUUAUGUUUUGGAUUUGGGGGGACAGAAAUAAAACAAACCUAAAGGCGAGAUAUAUCACACUUUGCUCCAUCUGAUACAAAUAUGUCAUCAUCUUCAAUGCUAAGAUCACGGUAAAAUGUUAAAGCAAUUGCACUUCUUAAGCAAGUGUGCAUUCCUUCUUCUAGCAAUCUUUUUUUUUUCAAAAAAAAUAAUUAAAAAAAAUAUGCACAGCAAAAGAAACAGGAGAAGUGAAAAGUGAGGAAAAAAGUAGUUGCAUGUCAUAUGAAAAAGCAACGUCAAAGGUUGAAAGAAAGAGAAGGAUAUUCACUUUCACAUUUAUUACAUAAUGUAUAUGAAUAAUGAUUGAGUAAAAUGACACAAAUCCCGCAACUUAUUCAUUUUUUCCUCACUAGUGAUAGAUAAACAAAUCUCAGUAAUGAAGUGCUUUGUUAAGAAGAAGACAUAAGUUCACUCAGUCCUAAGAAUACAUAAGUCAAGCACUUCAAACAAACAGAAAGACAUAAGCAUGCAAGAGAGUCAUAAGAUCACUGCAACAAGAAAAGAAAGGCAGAAUGUCUUAAUUCCAUACACAAGCAAUUCAAUGUUGCAGCUUGGAAUGCAAUCAAUGAACAUUCAUAGGCAGUAGUUUAUAAAUAAUAAACAGCCUAACCUAAAUUGCCCCAAGUCAAUAAUAUCAACUAAAAUUUAAAGAUCAAAUUAUAAAAGUAAAAUAAUCCACCGCCAGCAUAAAUGUUCAGUGAGACGCCAUUAACAAUGUUUAAUGCAAAAUAGUGCUUGGUGACAGGUGGAGCAAUUGGACAAAAUAUAAGGGUAAUAUAUAGUGUUACUAUAAUCACCAAUGAGAUGCUAAAACAAAUUAUCUUGAAAAAAUGGGAUGGGGAAGCCUUCAUUUUCUAGAAAAAUAAAAGGUUCAGAGAAAAUAACUAGCUUUGCGGGUUUGCAUUAAUUUCAUCAUCUAAUCACAAGUUGACAAGUCCAGUGAGAAUAAAUAUGUUUGGCGUAUGAGGAUGAGAAUUAAUCCAUUAUCUUAAUUACCUAAGUCCUGCUACAAGACCAGCAGGCAUAAUCUUGGAUGUUUCCAUGUAUCGCUGUCCCAUGACCCAUGUUAGUGCGACUGUGGUAACUGAGAAAAAAAAAGGAGAGAUUAUUUCACAAAUAUUUACCAUAGUUAAUGCAGCGUGAAUGGCAUGUAAGAUGAAUAUUCAUGAUUAAUUUUUGGAUGCAUAGAUACGAACAAUGCAUUUCAUUUAGUUUUAUUCUGCCAAAGUUUCUGCAUGCACUUAUUAUUAUUUGGUAGGGCUAAUGACAAUCGUUGCUGAUUGUUGAUCGUAUGGAGAAUGCUUUUACAUUCAAAUGUCUGCAUUACUGUUAGAGAUAUAACCAUUCAUGUUACCUCCUCCUAUCAGCUUAAGCUUUUUCAUUAUCAUUGAUUCUCAAAAAGGUUUAAGGUUUUAUAAAGUCAUAUAUAAUCUGUAUUUUCUAUGUACCCAACUAGACAGAUCUAAGAAAAACCAUUUGGAUCUUAACAGACAUAGUAGCAAUCCUAGAGCACUCACUCAGCUCUACUUUAUAUGAAAAUUUAUUUCUAAAGAAUCCUUCUCUUCUCUUCUAGUGAAUAGUAACAAACAAAUUUAACAGAAAACAAACAUGUUCUUUCAAUUUGUAAGCAUUAUAAACCUAAAACAAUUUUCAAUAUACAAUUUUUCAGUUCAGGUUUCACUUUGGUAUAUCCCAUCUAUCUAUCUAUCUAUCUAUCUAUCUAUCUAUCUAUCUAUCUAUCUAUCUAUCUAUCUAUGUUACUUAUAACAAAAUUUUCAGCCAAAUUUUAAUAAAGUUUCAACACAUUCUUAAUAAAGAGUAACAAACUUUUCCAAAUCUUUCUGAUGUUAAGCAUAUUAGAAAAUGAAACCCAACCUUUAGGAGCCAGAAACAAAAUCAUGAAAUUUAAACAAGAUCACAUUCAGACCAAAACCAUAAUCAGAAAAAUCAAUGUCUAAUCUUAUUAUUUAUAAACAUUCAAAAAAGGACAGACACUCACAAAUUUAGCAUGAUUUUGAAGUAGAACAAGAAUGAGGACUUUUGAAAUAAGUGGUAACAUGAUGGCAAGGCACGACAGAGGUAGCAACAGAGGUAGGAGCACUGGCGGCCGUCUUCGACCUCAAACACGGCGAAAGAAGCAAAGGCCUCACCAUUCGCGCGCCUCCUCCCGCGACCUCCACCCCUUCUUUCCCCUUCGCAGCGCAUUCUCUCUCUCUAUGUUUGUGUGUCUCGUCACUUAACGAUGACUACGACGACGACAGACGGCGGCAGUAGCAUGACGAAGCAGACAAAGAUGAGGACUGAGACCGGCUUGAGGAAUAAGCUAUGAUUGUUCGAGCAGAGGAGGGUGGAGCAUAUGCGGCGCGACGCGACGGCAGAGAUGAGCUGCGACGACGCUGAAACAGUAGGGACGACGACUGGACCAGAUUCGACGGCGGCGGUAGGACGGCGGUGGUGACACAGCUUAGAGGAGAGUGAUGAGGCUAGGGUUUGAGAGAGGGAAGCAAAUGCGUGAGACUGAAAGGCUAGUUCCAUUUUCCUCUAAUACCAAAACGGUGACGUUUUUGGCAGAAAAGUGAAAAUCAGCCGGGUCCUGGUUCGGUCCGACCGGCCGGUUCUCGACCAGUUCAAUGGUUUCAGAGCGCUUUUUGAAUUGCCAGUUUUACCUAUUAAACCGAAUUGGAAUCGUUGGCGAUUUUCGUUUGAACGAUCGGCCAGUCCGAUCCGGUUUUCAGAACCAUGCUCUUUACAAAGAAAUUCUCCAGGAAUAUAAAGUUUUCAACAAAAGAAACAUAAACCAAAUAAGCUCGGUUACAAAAUUAGCAUAAACUCACAAGCUCUAAUUUAAUAAGAUGAUCACAUGGGUGAAACCCGCGACACUUCAAAUUCACUGUAAACAACAAAAACAAUAAAAAGGGGCAUAAAAGAAUGACAAACAAUGACAAUCAAAAUGGUUAGGGUUUCGAAGUUUUAAAAAUGCAUAUAUGAAGUCUUUUUUCAAUCCAAGCAGCGCCUUUUUCAAUUUAUGCAAAAAUUCAGAAAACCGGCGGGUCCCAGUUCGGUUCGAUUGACCGGUUUUCGACCGGUUCGACAGUCUUAUAUUGGUUUUUCAAAAUGCCAGUUUUAGCAUACGCCCGAGUCGUUUUCCCUAUCGGUUCGCAGUUCGAUCGGUUCGACUGGUCGGUUAAACCAGUUUUAGCAUCCGCCCAAGUCGUUUUUCGCAACAGAUCACAGUUCAACCGGUUCGACCGGCCGAUUCGAACCGAUUUUCAGAACAUUGAUUAAAAUCAUUACUUGUCCAGCUUACAACACAGAAGUGGUUCAAGGAAUCGAAAUACAAGAGUGAAAAUUAAGCUUGACCUAAAUUCAACUAUAAUUGAACUAAAGACAGAAACAUUAAUUUUCAAAAAGAGUCCAUAAAAAAUAUAGUGCAUAAUAAUUUUUUAAGUAAAAGAGAUGAAACUAACAACUCUUAAUAGUUAAUAUAAACUAAACAUGACUACAUGACAAUUACGAUUUUUUUAAUUUUUGUUUUAAUCCUUUUGUUUAUACUUAUUGUAAUUCUAGGUAGCAGAGUCAAUGACAUUAUGCAGCAUCAAGUUGUGGGGCCUUAGAAUCAAAUCCAACGCAAGUCGCAUCCUUGUACUAUCAUUAACCUGAAAAAUAUAAAUAUUUUAGGUUACCAACAAAACCAUACACAUUUGCAAAUGAAGUACUAUUUUUUUUUAGCAAAAGAAAAUUACAUUUAUUAUAUAACUAUACGUCUUCCUGUAGUUUGUCAUCCAGGUUGCCACACAUACCCCCACAAUCAUUCUUGUAGUUUGAAUUGAACCCGACUUCCUCGAUCCGGCUUGGGCUAUGUACUUGUCCAAAUAGAGCUUAAGAAGUUUAAAGCAUUCUCCUUCCCCAGGUAACAGGAUUUCCAAGACCUCAUCAAUUCAAUCUGCCACAGCUGAAUCAAGAUCACCUGGUCGAUUUGUGGCAAGUGCAAGGACUAUGUCUUUAGACUGGUCGCCAAUUCGAAAGAGAAGAGCAUUUAGUGCACUUCUUUGUGCUUCACUCAUGUAGGCUUCCUUUGUUAAUAAAUAUAAACAUAUUUGGAGUAAUUUAAUUCAAAAUCCAACUUUAUUAUUUGCAAGUCAUUAUGGAUGGUAAAAUCUUUAGUAAAAAGUAUUAGCAUAGAUUUGGGUACGCAUUAGUUAUAAUUUGAAAGUUAUGUGAUAUCUGAGCAUGCCUGCCUUCAUGAUAGCUCAUCAUAAUGAAUCAAUAUCUCUAGAUUGCACAAGAACCUAAUACAUUCCACCAUUUUUGAUCGGUUAUGUCAAAAAUUACUGAUGAAAAAUUAUUUCUAAAGUCCAAACCCAUUUUUAAACAAUAGAAUUCCACAAAGCUCUCAAAUUUUAUAAAAAAACUUAACACCAAUAAGCAAGGUGCGGUGAGACAAUGCCACAGGAAGAGAAAAUCGCGAACAUCCUUUAAUGGUUUACAAUCAACAACAACAAGUAAACCACAAACUCCCACUAUAUAUUUGAAGUAUACGAGACACAAUACAAAGUCCAGCAAUAACAAUCAUAGCAUCCUAACACUAUAUAACAACAUUCUCUCCAAAACAUGUAGGGAAAAUAGGAGAAUGGAGACCAACAAUUCAAACUACCAAGACCUUAAAAGAGAAAAAUGAAUUAAGCAUCAUAAAACAAAAUCGCAUGAACCCCACUAUUUCAACAGACAUUCUCCAACAAGAAAGCUUUCAGCUACUGCAUAAAUCAUAAUAGAUAAACUUCUACUGGUGCUUGCACUCUGGAGGUCGCUCACCCUGUUGACCUUCACCAGCCGGUGCUCUUCCACCCUUCUGAAAAUUUCCAGCCAAUGUUGAAACAAGUUAGGAAGAAGAAACUUUUGGGCCUUAGCAUCAAGCCCUAUUUCAUCAAGUUCAGUGUCAUUUUCCCAUACACAUGCAAGAAUGACUCUAAUCUUAGAGUUACGAUGACCAGCCCAAAAUCCAAGAUUAGUCCUGCAUAGCCCAUAUUUACCAAAGGUUGAGAGUGAAUAAAUAUUAAUGUAGACACGUUGUCUAAUCAUCUUAAAGCAUGAGGUAUACAUCAAUAUUCUAUGUACUAGCAAACUAAAUAAUCUAAGAAUCACUAAUAAACCUAUUGUUUGAAUACUGAAUUAUGUAUCACCUCUCCAUACCAUUCUACAAGAAAAUAAUAUAUGUAUUUUAAAUAUAGUUCAUGCAGGAUCAAUAAUUAAACUUAAUCUAUGUUUUUCAUUGCAUAUGGAGAUUAUAAGUCAUUGGUGACAGUAAUACUUUUNNNNNNNNNNNNNNNNNNNNNNNNNNNNNNNNNNNNNNNNNNNNNNNNNNNNNNNNNNNNNNNNNNNNNNNNNNNNNNNNNNNNNNNNNNNNNNNNNNNNNNNNNNNNNNNNNNNNNNNNNNNNNNNNNNNNNNNNNNNNNNNNNNNNNNNNNNNNNNNNNNNNNNNNNNNNNNNNNNNNNNNNNNNNNNNNNNNNNNNNNNNNNNNNNNNNNNNNNNNNNNNNNNNNNNNNNNNNNNNNNNNNNNNNNNNNNNNNNNNNNNNNNNNNNNNNNNNNNNNNNNNNNNNNNNNNNNNNNNNNNNNNNNNNNNNNNNNNNNNNNNNNNNNNNNNNNNNNNNNNNNNNNNNNNNNNNNNNNNNNNNNNNNNNNNNNNNNNNNNNNNNNNNNNNNNNNNNNNNNNNNNNNNNNNNNNNNNNNNNNNNNNNNNNNNNNNNNNNNNNNNNNNNNNNNNNNNNNNNNNNNNNNNNNNNNNNNNNNNNNNNNNNNNNNNNNNNNNNNNNNNNNNNNNNNNNNNNNNNNCGCGAACAUCCUUUAAUGGUUUACAAUCAAUAGCAACAAGUAAACCACAAACUCCCACUAUAUAUUUGAAGUAUCGAGACACAAAUACAAAGUCCAGCAAUAACAAUCAUAGCAUCCUAACACUAUAUAACAACAUUCUCUCCAAAAUAUGUAGAGAAAAUAGGAGAAUGGAGACCAACAAUUCAAACUACCAAGACCUUAAAAGAGAAAAAUGAAUUAAGCAUCAUAAAACAAAAUCGCAUGAACCCCACUAUUUCAACAGACAUUCUCCAACAAGAAAGCUUUCAGCUACUGCAUAAAUCAUAAUAGAUAAACUUCUACUGGUGCUUGCACUCUGGAGGUCGCUCACCCUGUUGACCUUCACCAGCCGGUGCUCUUCCACCCUUCUGAAAAUUUCCAGC